AUUGAACGCUGGCGGCAUGCUUUACACAUGCAAGUCGAACGGUAACAGGCCUUCGGGUGCUGACGAGUGGCGAACGGGUGAGUAAUGCAUCGGAACGUGCCCAAGUCGUGGGGGAUAACGUAGCGAAAGUUACGCUAAUACCGCAUAAGCCCUGAGGGGGAAAGCAGGGGGAUCGCAAGACCUUGCGCGAAUGGAGCGGCCGAUGUCAGAUUAGCUAGUUGGUGGGGUAAAGCCUACCAAGGCGACGAUCUGUAGCGGGUCUGAGAGGAUGAUCCGCCACACUGGGACUGAGACACGGCCCAGACUCCUACGGGAGGCAGCAGUGGGAAUUUUGGACAA
rnacentral:rRNA from 1 species